rnacentral:tRNA from 1 species
UUUGAUGCCUGAGUGCUUUUAUUCUUAGGCCGAAAUCCUGUCACCUUAGGUCGAUCGGUACCUCAGCUUUGAAGUUAAGGAUCAGCAGCAAUGUUGAUUGCUUGAUGGAGAUUUUCAGUUCCUAAACUUUGUCUAGGUCACACCCCAAAAGGGAUGAGACUCCUGGGCCAUUAGCUCAGGUGGUUAGAGCGCACCCCUGAUAAGGGUGAGGUCCCUGGUUCAAGUCCAGGAUGGCCCAUUCGGUGUUGGGGGUUUAGCUCAGUUGGUAGAGCGCCUGCUUUGCAAGCAGGAUGUCAGGAGUUCGAGUCUCCUAACCUCCACUGACCGAACUUGAUUCCCAUCUCCAAUUUUUUUGGAGUUGAGCUCGAUUGGAGUGUGAUUUAGAUGUGUCCGCUGGAUGACCCCAGCUUCCUGUCAUUCCAAGUUUUAGGUUGAUGCCUUGAAUUUGGUUGAUAAGAUGCUGGGCUCGGAUCAAAUGAUCAAGAAAUUGAUGAUUUGAUUUGAAGUUCUAGCAGAACCUUGACAACUGCAUAGGUGAGUCUGGAAAAAACAAAGCAUCUUACAGAUGCAUUGUUUUGAAUCUGAUCUUCUGAAAGGGAGAUUGGAUCUAGAACAAUGAAAAUUCUUUUGAGCAAGAGCCGAGACUCUUGAGCG